GUUCUAUCUACAGGUAGAGAUGAAAGAAUACAGGCAAUAGCUACUCAAAUCAAUACAUCAAGAAACAGUGCUGCACAACUUAACCUGUCUCAACAUCACCUUAUACCCAACACCUGGAGAGGAUCAUACAAGGAGAACUCAGAGAAAUCCGGCCAACAGGUGUAAUUUGUUGCCUGUUGGAGACGGUAGCUAGUAGUACCUGAGUCUUUAUUUGAUGAUGAUGAGCUCAACAACCUACCACAAGUGGCUGGAAUUACUUUAACAUCAUGAGGAUCAAGCUUGCUGGAGAAGUGUGCCAGGUGAUCAGCUGCAGGGCAACAUUUGGAUUUUCCUUACUGGAACCAUAAUGAAUUUCUCCAAGGUGCCAGAACUGCAGUUCCCAUAAGAGAUGCUUGCCUAUCCAUUGAAAAUAUAUUGUUAAACUCGCCUACCUCAAGGACCUUAUCAAGAAAUAUCAAUAUAACAACCAAUUUACA
rnacentral:lncRNA from 1 species